AAUUCUCAACCAUGAACUUUGAGAUCAUGGCUUGGAGUUGGAAGUUGCUGGCCGGAAGGUCAGCUCUUCUUAAACGGAUCAGCGAUCGAGUUGGCUAGUCUUUGACGUACACGGCCUCGGACGUGAUAAUGAUCGUCCUGGCUGGAGCGUCCCUUGAUUCGGUUGGCU
rnacentral:misc_RNA from 1 species